ensembl:lncRNA
GAGGGGGGGGUGCUUCGGCCGCGCUGCCUUCCUUAUCGCGCCGUCCGCCCUCCUUUCCCUCACCCCGGCACCCUCUCUUCGCCCCUUCAGACAGUACGAGAACUGGUUGCCUCCAGGCGCCCUCACCUGUUCUGCAGUCCCUGGAGGCACAAUAGCUUGACAGAUGAGACGUGGGAGAUUAGGUUUUUUCGGCGUCAAAUGUCCUUACAGGCAACCGCCCUAGACCGGAGCUGGCCGCAAUGGACCUAAGAGUCUGUAGCAGCCAGUCUGCCGUCACCUUUGUGGGUGGUGGUGUGCGGGGAGAGAGCGUGGUGAUUGUGAGGAACAACAGAAGCUCGCUGACAAAGAGGGGCGAGAGGAUUCAGUCACUUUUGAGAAAACCAUUGGAGAGGUCAGGGAAGACAUAGUAUUGUAUCAGCGUUGCUGUGGAAAUCUGUUUACAUCUGCUUUUCGUUCCCGAGAUCUUUUUUUGUCCGAGUGCAGCUCUCCUCUCAGAGACACUGAGUCAGUUCUUUGCUGGACUUGCCCUCUUAGAGAAAGAGAGUAACCUUGAGAACAGAUAGCAGCCUUAUUUCCACCGCCCCAUCUUGCCCCCAGAAGGCGAACCUGUUAAGGGGAAGGGAGACACUUAAGACACUUGACAGCAACUUCGUGUGACUCUGAAGGGCACACUGGAAAGUUUCCUAGAUUGAAGGCAACUCCAGAUUUAAACCUAUCUAUCCAAUUACUGUAUAAACCAGAUGAAAAUUUAACAGUGGAACACCGUGGGCAAUUUCAGCCUGACAACAGCCAAUCCCAUCAUGAGAUCAGCAGUGAGAUGACCCCACAAACUGGAUGGAAUAGAGGGAACCCCCACCACCCCACCCCUCCCAGUGGCUGCAGGAAAUCUCCAAGAUUCCGCAUAUAAGGGAUGUCAUAUGAUAUUUCUCCUCUGCCUGACUUCACUCAGUACCACACCUCAAGAGGUCCAUCCAUGUUGCUGCAAAUGGCAUUACUUCAUUCUUUUUAAUGGCUGAGUAAUAGCCUGUUGUGUAUAUGUACCACAUCUUCCUUUCCAUUUGCCUGUCGCUGGGCAUGUAGGUUGCUUCUGUGUCUCGGCUGUUGUAAACAGUGCUGCGGUG